rnacentral:lncRNA from 1 species
GUAUGUUUUAUCUUUACAGGCAAGCCUCAGUCCAGUAUGUACAUUGUCUUAUGAAAGUCAUUAUGGGACUACCUUCGAUCUAGGAAUGGUACCCACGCACUCUUACGUUCCAAACAUCAUUUUAGACUUUGCAUCAAACGCCAGCGAACAAAUGAAAUUGUACAUUCCAUUCCUUAGCAUCGGUCGUACCGAAACUCUGAAUCAUGGCCAUACACCUUUCACAGUGUCAUUCCAAUUAAUCAACAAAGGAAAUUUUACAGAAAGAAGAGGAAUCCAUAUUGAAACUGAUGUGCCCGUUGCUGUUUAUGUAACCCUAUAUAGAAGUAGUAUGACCGAAUCUUACCUGGCGUUACCUGUUACAUUUGCUGGUAAAGAGUAUGUUUUAGCUUCCUUUGACCCAAGUGGCCGCUAUUCGGAAGCCCUAGUAGUCAGCAGUUUUACCAACACGACUGUGAAUAUAACUACCACAAGACUAUCAACUUCGUCGGUGUCUUUGAACCGGUUAGAUGCAAAUCAGAUACUUCGACGGAUUGAUAAUACUGGAACUGCGAUAUCUGCAAACGCAACUGUUUCUGUAAUAGCUGGAACUACAUCUGCAAAUAUACCGACUAAUCACUCGAAUUGUGGAUUUAUUGUUGAACAAAUGAUUCCUACUGAUGCCUGGGGAAUGGAAUAUAUCGUACCUAACAUGCCACCACUAACAGGAGUAUUGAUUCGCGUACUUUCACAAAAACAUCACGAUGUAUGUUUGUUUUGACACUCAGCACGGUACUACUUGUAAACAAGUUCCUCAUCCAUAUCCAUUGGAAUUUUUCACAGGGUCCGAACCGGUUGUUGCAAGAUCCAACACUACUGUCAGUGUUAUUUCAUACGGUGUAGCAGACGGUCCAUUUAUGACAGUUGUUCCCGGCAUUGAGAACUUCAUGAACGAAUAUUAUUUCAUUGUACCCACCAACUGUAUCUCUGAUACUAACUCAGUAGCAAUUGUUAUUCAGUCUUCACAAACAACCGGGCUUAUUCUUGACGGAUCAUCAGUAAGUUCUACGCGUGUCUUCAACGUGCCGCAACCAUUUCAGAGUUACAAGGUCCUAAUAAUAAAUAUUUCGACUGGAUAUCGCUUAUUAAGUCACCAAAAUAAGAAUGUUAAAUUGGGAGCAAUCUUAUACGGUCAAAAAAAAAACGGAGAAGGCUAUGGUUUUCCACUAGGAAUGCAGAAGGAAAAGGAUAUGCUAUUUGGAACGGUACUCAAAGCAUGGCAGACAGACAUUUAGAUCCGGAUGUCUAUCACAAGAGGUAUGCGCAAACGAAUCUGAAAC